rnacentral:rRNA from 1 species
UAGGGAAUAUUGGACAAUGGGCGAAAGCCUGAUCCAGCAAUGCCGCGUGAGUGAGGAAGGCCUUAGGGUUGUAAAGCUCUUUCGGCGGGGACGAUGAUGACGGUACCCGCAGAAGAAGCCCCGGCUAACUUCGUGCCAGCAGCCGCGGUAAUACGAAGGGGGCGAGCGUUGUUCGGAAUUACUGGGCGUAAAGGGCGCGUAGGCGGCCAUCUUUGUCAGGCGUGAAAGCCCUGGGCUCAACCCAGGAACUGCGCUUGGGACGGGACGGCUUGAGUUCGGGAGAGGAGAGUGGAAUUCCCAGUGUAGAGGUGAAAUUCGUAGAUAUUGGGAAGAACACCAGUGGCGAAGGCGGCUCUCUGGACCGAUACUGACGCUGAGGCGCGAAAGCGUGGGGAGCAAACAGGAUUAGAUACCCUGGUAGUCCACGCUGUAAACGAUGUGUGCUAGACGUUGGGAAGCCUAGCUUCUCGGUGUCGCAACUAACGCUUUAAGCACACCGCCUGGGGAGUACGGCCGCAAGG